rnacentral:tRNA from 1 species
GACCCGAUAGUGUAAUGGUUAGCACCACAGUUUUUGAUACUGUUAGUCCAGGUUCGAGUCCUGGUCGGGUUA